UUCAGAUCAUCGUCACCUCUCAGCUGGGUGAUUGCAGUAGUUUCCCGCCUACUGCUGUUACCGGGAAGGGGUCUCAAUCCAGAUCCUAAGAGAGGGUUUAUGGAUUUCACUCAAGAAAGAAUAUGAGAAACAUCACCACAGAAAAGACACAGAAGAGUCUCAUGGUCGGAUUCUCUUUGCUCUCCACUUACAGCCACAGACUUUUCCUCAAAUCUCCUAAUACCAAUCUCCAGCACCUGUUUAGGUCAACUGUCUAUGACUGAACAAGAUACAUGGCUGGAAGGCAGAUAAUCAGAAUGGUUACGACUUGGGAGUUCCCAGAUCCUGAUUUUAUUAAAUCAAGAAUUUCAGAAAUUAUGGUGAGAAAGAAAAUAAAUUUAUGGAAUUCUAUUGUGACCAUGGAAGGUAUGGUGGGGG
rnacentral:lncRNA from 1 species